rnacentral:rRNA from 1 species
UACGUAGGGUCCGAGCGUUGUCCGGAAUUAUUGGGCGUAAAGGGCUCGUAGGCGGUCUGUUGCGUCGGGUGUGAAAACUUACAGCUUAACUGUGAGCGUGCUUCCGAUACUGGCAGACUUGAGGUAUUCAGGGGAGAACGGAAUUCCUGGUGUAGCGGUGAAAUGCGCAGAUAUCAGGAGGAACACCGGUGGCGAAGGCGGUUCUCUGGGAAUAUCCUGACGCUGAGGAGCGAAAGUGUGGGGAGCGAACAGG